GGCAGCCAGUGACCACCUGUUUGAUCAGGAGAGACUAGUGAAUGAGGUAUUAUAGGAGCAUUAUCUAAAAAUCUAGUCAUUCACUUGAAUGGAAAUAAUUAGAGUAUCCAAAUUCCAAAAGAGGUUUAUCAUGUGACAUUGUAAAAUGUGAUGACUUAAAUUAAUUUGACAUUAUUCUCACUCUCUCAUCUUGCAAUCUGAAUCAUAGUUUCGGAAUUUGAUUUGGAAUCUUCAUUUGCUAUCAAGGUCGUA